GGCUUCAUAGCUCAGUUGGUAGAGUAUCGCACCGGUAUCGCGGAGGUCAUGGGUUCAAAUUUUUUCAGGCUA